ensembl:lncRNA
AGUGAAGCUGCCCUAGAGUUUUGUAUGCAUCUCUGUGUGUGGAGUGAAGGUGCCCUAGAGUUUUGUAUGCGUCUCUGUGUGUGGAGUGAAGGUGCCCUAGAGUUUUGUAUGCGUCUCUGUAUGUGGAGUGAAGGUGCCCUAGAGUUUUGUUACUUAUAGUGGCACAGGUGACAUGCUGGUAAAAACUGAGGUAAAAUGGAUUUCAGUUUCCCAGCAUUAAAAUCACCGGCCACAAGAAGCGCCGCCUCUGGAUGUGCAUUUUCUUGUUUGCUUAUGGCCUUAUACAUCUCGUUAAGUGCGGUCUUAGUGCCAGCAUCGGAUUGUGAUGGUAAAUUGACAGCUAUGAAAAAUAUAGAUGAAUACUCUCUUGGUAAAUAUUAGGCGAGCAAAACUUGAUAAUUUCUUAACAUUAGAGGUCACUGACCAGCUGUUGUUAACAAAGAGACACACCUCUCCUACCCAAGGCUGCAGUCCAGGCUUGAUGAUGCAUGGAAAAACCAGCAAGAUGUAUAUCAUAGGAAAUUAUGGCGGAGACAUUAUGUACAAAACACUGUAAAAAAACACACAAAAUAACGGGUAACUGCUAUACACUGC